UGCGAGAUCGUCUAAUGGUAGGACAUCGCCCUCUGGAGGCGGUUAUCUUGGUUCGAAUCCAGGUCUCGCAGCCG
rnacentral:tRNA from 2 species